UUAGUCUUUGGACCCCCUCCAGUGUGAGCAUUACUUGGGCAAUUACUUUCCCCGUAAUGUAGCAGAUGCAAGUUAACAGAUACUGAAACUACACAAGACCUUAGACAGAUAAACAUGUACCAGCGUGACUUUGAGCAGUCAGGACAAUAGAGAGGACUUUUAAUGCACAAAAGCAGAACAAAGGAUCAAAUCACACUAAUAAAUCAAAUCAGAACAAAAACGAAAGCCUCGAGUGUGUGUUCGAGGAAGCCCAGACGCAGAAGGAAUCCAGAGGAGUGAUGCGCUGAGCGGGGUCCCGGGCUUCCAUCUGUCAGAAUCACUCAUUCCAGAGCAGCAGAAAUCUACCAGCGGAGUUUCCUGUGACUUCCGGCCUCGGCGAGGCAGGUUCAGGCAGCCUCAGGCUCAGCCCAUGGGAGAGGCCUCCUCCCAAUCACAGACCCUUCCUGGUGCCAGAGCUUGGAAGAACUGCCGCAGGGUAGAAAAGGACCUCAGGGCAGCGCGGCUCGCAGAGCAGCCGGCCCGGUGCCAGGAGGAGGAGACGGCGCUGUGAGUAGAUGGAUGUCGCUGGGCAGGGAAGCCAACCGCACUCUCUAUGAGCAAAGGAACUCGCAGAGUGUUGAGCAAUUGGAGUAAAUCAUCCUGAUGCCAGGCCGCCGGGCAGUUCUCCACAGGGUGGGGCCCACGGGGGCCGUUCCUGCACAUGGAAAACUUCGUGAGGAAAGAAUCUGAGAAAAUCAUUCCCAGUGAGGCAUUGACAUUGAUGCCUCGCCAGACUCCAUGUGCCUCUUUUAUAGGUCUUUGCACUCUAAUCAGGAGCAAAGGGGUCAUUCUCUAGUCGUGGGAUUUCAGAAAUUGGGUGAGGAGUGAGGAUGACUUUGAAUGGAGGGCGAGGUGGAAGGCUCUCUCCUCGCCAGCUUUGUUUAUGUGACUCCCCCAGUGGCUUAACUUGUA
rnacentral:lncRNA from 1 species